GAAAAAUAUAUAAAUUUUGUUCUGGCCCUUUGAAAAUACUUUUGCUUCCUCGAUAACCCGUGCUUCAAACCCAAAACCUCAAACGUGCUCAAAAUUGUGAAACCCUUCUCUCUUGAUUCAUGAUUCUGCCUCCUCUAUCUUGAUUCACGAUUCCGCCUCCUCUCUCAUUUUCUCUACCAAUCAAUCAAACACAAAAACCUUCUCGUCACUAGAAACGUGUAUGAAUCAAAAACCCUUUUGAAACUUGUUUCGAAUCACAAAUGUGUUCAUAAUCUCUAUUUUAGGAAUCAUUCAUUCUCCAAAUCAUAAUUUGUUGAUUAAUUUCACUCUUAAUUUAGAAUUUCUCUCAAAUUGAUUUCUUGAUUUAUUCACUCUCAAAAUCGGCGCCCCCUUCUUAUUGCAAUGCAUGUUGCGUUGUCGUGUUCAACGAAACAAGUCAGGGAGAUCCUCAUACGCCGAUGUAUCAUGUUCAUCAAAACAAAUCAACGAGAUCCUUGUGGUAUGGACUUUUAGUAUUAUUAUUAUUAUUAAACUCUCACUCUAAUUUUGGGAAUUUGGUUUAUCUUGUAUUUUCUUUGGAUAUGAAAUUGUGUAUAAUUUUGAUUCAAGUUUAUAAGAUGAUAAUUAUAAUUAUAUACUUUGAUGGGUAUGAAAUUUGAUUGCUUAAUUGUUUAUUUGGUUAGAUUUUGUGUAUCAUUUUGGUUUAUCUUUUGAUUUUGAUUGUUAACAGAUGACUACAAAUCUAGUAGCAUACAACAUGAGUCAUUUCAUAACAGAUUGACAGCUUCAUAAACAUGUUUAUGAAAUUAUUCCUAUGCAAAAGUUAUUUUAUUUACUUGGCAUGUUGUGAAGACAUGUGUUGACUAUUUUAGUACCAAUUAACCUUUUUGACAUUCAGGUAGAACUGAUCUGGUAGUAAAAGAAAAGAAAGCAAACAUUGGAACAAAAUGAUGAGUUAUGCUUGCUCAAUGCAGAGCGCUUGUGGAUAAAUAUAAAUUACGACAAUUACAAAAUCAAUUACCUUAAUUAAAUUUAUCAUAUCUAAAUUAAUAUCAUGUCCUAUUUCCUUAUCUACUUUGUCAGGAAAGCUGGUGGAAUGUUGGAGUUAUAAUCUUGAUGAUAUUGAUCUUUGCAACUACUCCGACAUUCAUGGAUAAAUAUAAUCAUUGGAGUUGUAUGUCUCUUAUUUCUUAUGUACCAAGAUGUUUCUUUUCACACUAGUAAUCACUCUCUUAUCUCUAUUUACUAAGAUUUUAUUUCACUGAUAUGUUAAAAGGGGAGUUUUUUUAACCUGAUUUAUAAAAGUAUUACAUAUUAUUUGGUGCUUUUUUUGUGACACUAUAUCAAAGAUUUUCAUUGACAAUAAGCUUCCUUCAAUAUUGCGUCAUGUGUUUUUCUUGUUCUUUGCAGCUCUUAGCAUAAUUACUUUGUCAUGGAACUCCAUCUCGACUACUUUAAUACUGCAUCCAUGAUGCUCUUCGUCCUAUCCCUCUUUCUUUUCAUGUCCUUGGAUAUUUUCUUGUAUUUUGUCUUUAGGCCAUAUAGAAAUGGUUUAAACUUUAAACAAGGCUAUAAUGUUUACAUUAAGUAAUUGCUUCCUUAACAUUUAAUCUCAAUAGUGUUUGAGAAUGCAUACAUACUCUAUUGUAGAACAUAUGCAAAGUGGGAAGUUUGAUAUUAAGAUUUUUUGAAUGUUUGAUAUUUUAAGUGCUCAGUGGAAAGAGCUUAACAGCAGAGGCAUCGUUUAUUAAAAAUGGUAUAAAUAUAAAUCUUAUAUUUUUUUCAGUAGUUUUAUUAAUUCAUUUUUGAGUGAGAAUCUUUGCAGCCAAGAAUAUAUAGUAAGAUAUUCAUUGAAGGACAUUGAUCAAAUUUGUAAAAGCUCAUUUCCUUUGGGCAUGUGUCACCUAUUUUAUAAGGAAAAGGACAAUCAUUUAAAGCAAUGUGGAAAGAUGCAUCAGCAUGUUGGACAUCUAAGCAUAAUAAUAAGAAAUUAUUUUAUGUGUGAACCUAAGUGAAUGUACUAUAUUUAGCUUUAACCUUAUUAAUUGAAGAAUUUAUCUAUUUUGAAUUA